rnacentral:tRNA from 3 species
GGGCCGGUAGUUCAGAUGGUUAGAACGCCCGCCUCACACGCGGGAGGUCCCCGGUUCAAGUCCGGGCCGGCCCACCA